CAAACUUGAGAUUUCUCACAAAUAAGAAUUGUUUUAUCAUUUAUAAAUAACUCUUUAGUCAUCUCUUAACAAUAAUAAAUCUCAUUCUUUCACAUCAUCUCUCAGUUUCUAUUUCUCUGCCUUAAAUAAUGUGACAGGAGGACACUCAAUUUGUAUAAUAAAGAAGAGGAAAUAGAGAACACAAUCUUGAGUGAGUUGGUGUAAGACUUUAGCGGCUGUGGUGGCGUGCGUCCAGGACAGAACGCCGUGUAAAGAAAGCAGAGCAAAAUCAGAACCAAAGUGAGAGAGAUAAUCAAGAGAAAUGGCAAGUGUGACUGUGAAUCCAUCAUUGUUCCGGAGUGAAUCAUUAGGACACUACUACGACUACAACUACUACCCUGACCAGAACUACACCAUGAUGGAGAAGAGGCAGCUGUUCCUGAGAAGCUACCAGUUCUGUCAAAAGAAGAGUUUCACAGAGAGAAUCAAAGGGUCUUUGAUCCGUGCCAAGAAAGUUUUAUGGCUAAGGCUAUGGUCUUCUUCUGCUGGUGGAUUUAGGAAGUUGGUCUUUUUCCCCAGGUUCAGAUGCACCUUUUAUUACCGGAGGAGACGGUUUUCGCGGCUGUUAAACCGCCACCACCGCAGCAAAACUGAAUCUUCCUCUUGUUUCUGGUAAUUACAUGUCUGCUACUGCUAGUGUAGCAUCUCACUAAGACACCAUUAUCAUUCAUUUCUUUUUAUUUUGUUAUUAGCCAGUUACAAUGUCUCAAUAUGUAUGUGUGAUCAGUUUGGAGCUAGUACUAAAGAUAAUUGUUCAUUACUCUCAAAA